rnacentral:lncRNA from 1 species
CAAGAUGAUUUGCACGUGAUGCAACCCCCCGGGAGCCUGCUAUAGGCGCAUGGUAGUAUCUCUGUGCUCCGCCAACACAAGUCUCUAGUAUUAGUGGACGAGGUGGUGGGACAUGUACACGUGUUGCCCGACAAGCAGCAGAUUUGACAGGCUAAAAGCUAAUUCUAUAAUCCUUGGGAUGGGGAGGUUUAACAUUUUCUGUGAAGGUGCCUUUUUUUGAAUGAUUUACCAUGGAAGGGUAACAGAAUAGAUCUUUGAAGGGGAGUACAGUUUUAGCUUUAGGAUUAAAAAAAAAGAGAGAAAAAGGCCUAGAAGAUAAAUGAGUUAAAUUAGAGAUCGUAACUUUGUCAUAUUGAAUCAGUUUGGGUACCACAACUUCUUAAACAUACACCAGCAGCAAUUCUGCCUUCUUAAUCAGAAAAGGAUAAAAAGAAAACGAAAUAAAUGCCUGUGCAUUCAUGAGGUUUCAUGCUGAAGGGCCAAUGCAUUUGUACCAAAAAAAAAAAAAGGCCAAUGCAUUAUUGGACUUCGAUGUGCAAAUUUCCCACGCCAUGUGGACCUUAACCCCAAAACUGCAAAGUGGAACCAUCCCAACCGAAGACUUGGUUGGUACAAACUAAAAUUGGAGAAGUCCAGUUGAGGAGUUGCACCUCCACAGCUCCACUUGGUUGGUGCAUAUGAUAAGAGGUCUCCCCACUUCAGAUAAAAGUUAGAAAUUACACCUUCCCAAGCCAAAUAACGAAUUCAUAACUCAAAUUAAGUAUCUCUUUGCAGUCCAGUUCAGACCCGUACUUCACAAGCCAACGCAAUAUACCAAGGAGGUAACGCACUUCCUUCGUCUGGGCUGAAACAGACACCUUUUCCGACGUUGGACACACUUCUAACGAGAUCUUUCGGAUAUAACGAAAAGUUACCUCCAAGUAACCAUAGUCCUACAGUAAUGAGUUCAUGUUGGCCGCUUCA